AUUGAACGCUGGCGGCAUGCUUUACACAUGCAAGUCGAACGGUAACAGGCCUUCGGGUGCUGACGAGUGGCGAACGGGUGAGUAAUGCAUCGGAACGUACCCAGAGGUGGGGGAUAACGCAGCGAAAGCUGUGCUAAUACCGCAUGUGAUCUGAGGAUGAAAGCGGGGGACCGAGCAGCAAUGUUUGGCCUCGCGCCUUUGGAGCGGCCGAUGUCGGAUUAGCUAGUUGGUGGGGUAAAGGCCUACCAAGGCGACGAUCCGUAGCUGGUCUGAGAGGACGACCAGCCACACUGGGACUGAGACACGGCCCAGACUCCUACGGGAGGCAGCAGUGGGGAAUUUUGGACAAUGGGCGCAAGCCUGAUCCAGCAAUGCCGCGUGCGGGAAGAAGGCCUUCGGGUUGUAGACCGCUUUUGGCAGGAACGAAACGGUGUCCGCUAAUACCGGGCGCUAAUGACGGUACCUGCAGAAUAAGCACCGGCUAACUACGUG
rnacentral:rRNA from 1 species